UUAAUUCCACCUCCUGCAGUGCACCUGAGGCCUUGUUUCCUAAUUUUCAAAGCGGACUCACACUUUUGUCAGCCACAGUCACAUUUCUGGCAGAUUUUUUCUUCCCUAGAAGCAGAGCACUGGGCUGCUGAGGACCCGCCUCUCGGUGGUUCUGUUCUUGCCCCACCUUGCUUCCCCUGAGGAGCCCCAGGGGAGGCGGGACCCAGCCACCCCCCCCCCCACCUGCCCAUCCUGUGUGCAGGGCAGGCCGUGUGCCCAGAAAUCAGCUCCUCCUCCGAGGAUUCCGGCACAAUCUCCUGUGUCAAAGAUGAGAACUGUCCCCAAGGCACCAAGUGCCGCGCCAGGAGCCCCUGCAGCCGAUCCUGCGUGGUCCCCCUCAUGGUGCCCGGCUCAGCGAUACAUGAGGGCUCUUGUCUCCCUCCCAGCCUUCAGGCUCCAGGCCACCAAGGGGGGGGUGAAGAUUGGGGGCCGCCAGAGACCAGCAGUGGGGCGGCCCCAGCAAGCCCGUGGGCGAUAAAGGCCUGGCCCACCUCUCCCCCAGUGCCUAUUCCAAAGGCUGGCCGCUGUCCCGGGUGCAGGCCCCGCUGGCCCCAAAGCUCUGCUUAGAGAGAAACGAAUGCUCCAGCGAUGACUAAUGUAUGGAGAACCAGAAGUGCUGCUUCAGCUCGUGUGCCAUGAGGUGUAUGGUCCCCGCCACAGGAUCCACCUCCUCUGAGGCCUCCACGUCCCCUGCAGAGGACUCUCUCCAGUGAGGGACAUCCCUGAGAGCGCCUGGCUGCCAGGAGUGACCCGUCCAAGUCCUCUCAGCCAGAAUCUUCUCUCUUGGAUCCAGUCAGCCCAAGAUGCCUCCUACCUGUUGCUAAUAAAAACCCACUCGGCUUCA